rnacentral:lncRNA from 1 species
CAAUCCAGCUCGGAUAUACAAAGCUCCCUCCAGCAGCGCUCGGUCGUAACCGACUUAAUGGUCGGUCAACAGCUGACUAUGCCAAACGAAGAUAAGGCACCUCAGUAAUCCCAUCCUACCGACUCUGACAAUAUGGACCUCUACCGACUAACUGAGUAUCGAAUGUGGCCAUCAUACAACUCUGACAUGUCACAUCAAGAUCAUGUCACUCAGACGUCAUACCUU